rnacentral:rRNA from 1 species
UUACCCCGCGGGGAAAUAAGCAUAUCAAUAAGCGGAGGAAAAGAAACCAACCGGGAUUGCCUUAGUAACGGCGAGUGAAGCGGCAAAAGCUCAAAUUUGAAAUCUGGUACCUUCGGUGCCCGAGUUGUAAUUUGGAGAGGGCAACUUUGGGGCCGUUCCUUGUCUAUGUUCCUUGGAACAGGACGUCAUAGAGGGUGAGAAUCCCGUGUGGCGAGGAGUGCGGUUCUUUGUAAAGUGCCUUCGAAGAGUCGAGUUGUUUGGGAAUGCAGCUCUAAGUGGGUGGUAAAUUCCAUCUAAAGCUAAAUAUUGGCGAGAGACCGAUAGCGAACAAGUACAGUGAUGGAAAGAUGAAAAGAACUUUGAAAAGAGAGUGAAAAAGUACGUGAAAUUGUUGAAAGGGAAGGGCAUUUGAUCAGACAUGGUGUUUUGUGCCCUCUGCUCCUUGUGGGUAGGGGAAUCUCGCAUUUCACUGGGCCAGCAUCAGUUUUGGUGGCAGGAUAAAUCCAUAGGAAUGUAGCUUGCCUCGGUAAGUAUUAUAGCCUGUGGGAAUACUGCCAGCUGGGACUGAGGACUGCGACGUAAGUCAAGGAUGCUGGCAUAAUGGUUAUAUGCCGCCCGUCUU